UUCCAAAUGUGCUCAUUAGAUUUGAUAUUAAAUUGAGGUUGAAGCUGUUUAUGGACAGUAGAAACAUACACGUAAGACGCUUAACCACAUUGAACACAGCACAUCCGUGGUCCUGACCCAGAUAAUACGUCUAAAUCAAGAACUUAUAGCACACACUUCCUCUAUCUUCAUUACACGACCUCGGUCUGCGGAUCAUCAUCAUAAGUGGAUACAGAUUUGCUCCAUGAACUGCUCCGCAAGGAUGGACCAUCAGUCAUUGACCAGACGGACAGACAGAAUUGGGAUACAUGGAUACUCUACAAUAGCACAGAUCUGUGGAUAAAGGACGUUUUGCUUCUUGCUGAAGAGGAAGUAAAGAAAGCAGAAAAAAACUGUCACAGCCAACCAUUUUAUUGGGAAUUGGGAAAAAAACGUGAGAAAACAGGUGUUUUCGGAUCUGUUUCGUAACUGUUGCCGUUACGUUGGUCUACUACAUUUUAAGAAGGAGGACAAAAAUAACUAAUAUUAUGCAGGAAACAGAAGUGCGAGCGAGCUGACCGCCGCCUGGGACCAAUGUGAUUGGUUCAAAGAAAUACAAACAAGGCUUUUCUCCCCUCUCCACAUACCAUAAUGACGACGCGUGGUGCCAGACCUCCCUUCUGCGCUGACACAGCGAUAGAUGUGUCUAUGUGAAAGCAUCUUAUGAAGAUCUUAUUAAAACAAAUGUGAUUUA
ensembl:lncRNA